UAUUGUACAUUUCCGCAAUCAUGGGGUCGUUCUUCGCGCUGCAUCUUUCCAAUUUUUUUUCAUUUAUUAGCAAUUUGCAGUACAAUUUUUCAACAGUCUCCGGAUUCAACGUGAAGACUUAACUGCUGCAACAAUUAACGCAUAAGGUAAGUUUUAUUCAUUAACAUUCAUCCUAUUUAAAGACAUUGAACUUUAAAAAUCAAAACUCUACAGGAACCGCAUUUUCUUCGGAAUUUAUCGUCUCGUCCUUCGUCGUCAAGGAUAAGUUGAUUGAUGCUCCUUUUUUAAGGCGGAACGCCGAAAAGCUACGAAAAAAAUCCAAAAAACGCUCAUCCGGAUGGAACAGCGACCAAACGUAAGUUUGACAAAACCAAACCGGCCUAGGAAGAUUGCCCCGGAAAGGCUGCUCGCCGGGAGCUGGAAAAAUCUAAAAAAUAAAACGACAGCGAUGAGGAAGAGGGGCAAACCUUUGAGGCCGCUGGAAGAAAUUUCAACUUCGAUGAUGAGAACGAUUCGGGAUUGGCCGGAACGGCCCAGGUCAAGACGCUUCGGCUGGCUAAGAAGUAUUUGAGGGAGGUAGAGGAAGCUGAAAGAUCUCGCCAGGAGGUUGGAGAAGUGCAUGAUGGUGUUUCGUCAGCUUUGAUGGAGUAUCGGGAGAUUUACCGGGAAGCAAGAUUUUUCAACACCUGCUUCUGUUUACCGGGUGACGAUAAGUGUCUUUACGUAGCCAACCAGUAAUAGUAUCGUCGUACGAAAUUGGAUUUUAACAAAAAGUAAAAGCUGACCAGUACCAAGCAUCAGAAAACGGGCCUCCAUUUAACUGCGAUUUUCUAUUAUUUAAAAUAUCUGGUAGUGUCGGCUGGUAGCAACGAAACCAAAGUUUUAAACGGAACCACACUGGAACCCGCGAACACAUUGAGUGGCCCUUCGGAAUCGAUCACUGGAGUUGUUUUUCGGAAGAAUAACCAUCAGUUGUAUUCCUGCAGCAAAUUUCGGAAUCACUGCUAUGGUCAUCAGAAGACGGUCACGGCAAUCGAUGUACUUUUGAGGGAACGUGAUCAACAUCUGGAAAUUAGUUGAAGAAACGCAGCUCGUUUGCCACUGUCUCCCGACAACGGAUAGCAUCGAGUGCGUUCGAUUGCUUGGCGAAGAGGACUUCCUUACCUAUGGAACCGAGAGGUCCCUGUCGUUGUGGAGUUCCGAUAAAAAGAGGCCCCUGAACACUGUUCGAUUGGCUGGCUACAUCCGCCAGUAAAAUCAAUCAAAAAUGAAAAAAACGCCAUUCUUAAAAGUUCGGAGCAGAACCGGAAAAUAAAGUUUUGCUUUACUGGAAAGCCAAUCGGGACCAGAGGAAC